rnacentral:rRNA from 1 species
CNGGAGGGUCANGCGUUAUUCCGGAAUUAUUGGGCGUAAAGGGCGCGUAGGCGGCCUUUUAAGUCAGAUGUGAAAGCCCGGGGCUUAACCCCGGAAGUGCAUUUGAAACUAAAGGGCUUGAGUAUGGGAGAGGGAAGUGGAAUUCCUGGUGUAGCGGUGAAAUGCGUAGAUAUCAGGAGGAACACCGGUGGCGAAGGCGACUUCCUGGACCAAUACUGACGCUAAGGCGCGAAGGCGUGGGUAGCAAACAGGAUUAGAUACCCUGGUAGUCCACGCAGUAAACGGUGAACACUAGGUGUAGCGGGUAUUGACCCCUGCUGUGCCGCAGCUAACGCAUUAAGUGUUCCGCCUGGGGAGUACGGUCGCAAGAUUAAAACUCAAAGGAAUUGACGGGGGGCCCGCACAAGCGGUGGAGCAUGUGGUUUAAUUCGACCCAACGCGAAGAACCUUACCUGGAUUUGACAUCCCGGGNAAGUCUUUUGAAAGAAAGAUGUGCCCUUCGGGGNAACCCGGUGACAGGUGCUGCAUGGCUGUCGUCAGCUCGUGUCNNGAGAUNUUGGGUUAACUUCCCCCACCNAGCNCAACCCCUAUNUUUANNUUCCNUCCAUUAANUNNGGGNCNCNUAANNAUACNGCCCGGGUUAACGGGNAGGNANGGUGGGGAUUACCUUCAGUUCCNCCUGG